ACUUGUUAGAUUCUAUAACCCAUCCCUUCGGGGAAAAAAUGAUUAAUAACAAAUGACCGCAGACCGCAUGGAUUUAUUCUGGCGGCGUUCCAGUCAGGUUUCUGCCCUAUCAACUAGAUUGUUGUGUAUUGGACUACAAUGGUGAUAACGGGUGACGGGGAAUUAGGGUUCGAUUCCGGAGAGGGAGCCUGAGAGAUGGCUACCACUUCCAAGGAAGGCAGCAGGCGCGCAAAUUACCCAAUGCAAAUACUGUGAGGUAGUGACAAAAAAUAACGGUCCUGGCUCUUUUUGAGUUAGGAAUUGGAAUGAGUACAAUGUAAAUAGCUUAACGAGGAACGAUUGGAGGACAAGUCUGGUGCCAGCACCCGCGGUAAUUCCAGCUCCAAUAGCGUAUAUUAAAGUUGUUGCAGUUAAAAAGCUCGUAGUCGGAUUUCUGGUGAUUAUGAUUCUGAUUAGUAUCUCAAGUAAAAUUAGAGAGCUAUUGGGGUUGUUUCGCCAUAUCAAUAGCGCCUGUUUUACGGGUUAACGCGCCUUAACUGGCUGUGUUCUCUCAGACAGGCCUAUUACCUUGAACAAAUUAGAGUGUUUAAAUCAGGCGUUUAUGUCUCGAAUAAAUUAGCAUGGGAUAAUAAUACUGCCUUUUUAGUUAUUUUAUGGGGUAUAAUUAAGAAGUAAUGUCAAUAGGGAUGUUCGGGGCCAUUCAUAUUCAGUGGUUAGAGGUGAAAUUCUUAGAUUCACUGAAGAUGCCCUACUGCGAAAGCAUUUGGCUAGGACAUUCCCGUUGAUCAAGAACGAAAGUUAAGGGAUCGAAGACGAUCAGAUACCGUCGUAGUCUUAACUAUAAACGAUACGAAUCAAGGAUUGAAUAGUGUUAAUCGUACGACCUAUCCAGUAUUUUGUGAGAAAUCAUUGAAUUUUUGCGUUCUGGGGGGAGUAUGGUCGCAAGGCUGAAACUUAAAGGAAUUGACGGAAGACUACACCAGGAGUGGAGCCUGCGGCUUAAUUUGACCCAACACGGGAAAACUUACAAGGUCAGAACAUGGUUAGGAUUGACAGAUUGAGAGAUCUUUCUUAAUUUCUAUGGGUGGUGGUGCAUGGUCGUUCUUAGUUCGUGAGGUGGCUUGUCAGGUUAACUCCGAUAACGAACGAGAUCGCAACUUAUUAAUUGGCGAGUUAUUGUUCUUCUAUACGGGUGAAGUUAUUUGGCUUAUGUGAGUGGGGAAACUUACUUCGCAUGACCUUGUAAUGAAUCCUUGAUGAACAGUUUCCGUCCGUUUAAUCGUACUAUCGGCGAAAGCACGAUGGAAGAUGUGGCAAUAACAGGUCAGUGAUGCCCUUAGAUGUCCUUGGCUGCACGCGCGCUACAAUGCCUA
rnacentral:rRNA from 1 species